rnacentral:tRNA from 2 species
GCGCCUGUAGCUCAGUAGGAUAGAGCGGCGGUUUCCUAAACCGCAGGUCGUGGGUUCGAAUCCCGCCAGGUGCA